ACGGGAGAAGCCGAGGGGAAAGGACCGUGGAGAAGAUGCAAAUUUGUCUAAGGGUGAUGAGGGAGACCAGAAGAAGGGAGUUGACUUCCCAGGAGAGUCUGACCAGGCCUCUACAAAUGCCCUCCGGGACCGCAUUGCGAGAUAACAUGCGGGAGCGACUAGGAGGACCUGAACAUGAGGGAGGAAACAAGCCGAAGUGAGGCCACAAUGGCUUUGGGUGGUCAGUGAAGACAUAAGAAAACGGACACGUGACAUCCACCGUUGCCAGCACACACCAUAGUACAGGAGGAAGUGGAGAUGUACAUUGUAC